rnacentral:rRNA from 1 species
CGAUGAACCACAUUCGGUGGGGAUUAGUGGCGAACGGGUGAGUAACACGUGGGCAAUCUGCCCUGCACUCUGGGACAAGCCCUGGAAACGGGGUCUAAUACCGGAUACUGACCCUCACGGGCAUCUGUGAGGUUCGAAAGCUCCGGCGGUGCAGGAUGAGCCCGCGGCCUAUCAGCUUGUUGGUGAGGUAACGGCUCACCAAGGCGACGACGGGUAGCCGGCCUGAGAGGGCGACCGGCCACACUGGGACUGAGACACGGCCCAGACUCCUACGGGAGGCAGCAGUGGGGAAUAUUGCACAAUGGGCGCAAGCCUGAUGCAGCGACGCCGCGUGAGGGAUGACGGCCUUCGGGUUGUAAACCUCUUUCAGCAGGGAAGAAGCGAAAGUGACGGUACCUGCAGAAGAAGCGCCGGCUAACUACGUGCCAGCAGCCGCGGUAAUACGUAGGGCGCGAGCGUUGUCCGGAAUUAUUGGGCGUAAAGAGCUCGUAGGCGGCUUGUCGCGUCGGUUGUGAAAGCCCGGGGCUUAACCCCGGGUCUGCAGUCGAUACGGGCAGGCUAGAGUUCGGUAGGGGAGAUCGGAAUUCCUGGUGUAGCGGUGAAAUGCGCAGAUAUCAGGAGGAACACCGGUGGCGAAGGCGGAUCUCUGGGCCGAUACUGACGCUGAGGAGCGAAAGCGUGGGGAGCGAACAGGAUUAGAUACCCUGGUAGUCCACGCCGUAAACGGUGGGCACUAGGUGUGGGCAACAUUCCACGUUGUCCGUGCCGCAGCUAACGCAUUAAGUGCCCCGCCUGGGGAGUAC